rnacentral:rRNA from 1 species
GAUGAACGCUGGCGGCGUGCCUAAUACAUGCAAGUCGAGCGAACAGAUGAGGAGCUUGCUCCUCUGACGUUAGCGGCGGACGGGUGAGUAACACGUGGAUAACCUACCUAUAAGACUGGGAUAACUUCGGGAAACCGGAGCUAAUACCGGAUAAUAUAUUGAACCGCAUGGUUCAAUAGUGAAAGACGGUUUUGCUGUCACUUAUAGAUGGAUCCGCGCCGCAUUAGCUAGUUGGUAAGGUAACGGCUUACCAAGGCAACGAUGCGUAGCCGACCUGAGAGGGUGAUCGCCCACACUGGAACUGAGACACGGUCCAGACUCCUACGCGAGGCAGCAGUAGGGAAUCUUCCGCCAUGGGCGAAAGCCUGACGGAGCAACGCCGCGUGAGUGAUGAAGGUCUUCGGAUCGUAAAACUCUGUUAUUAGGGAAGAACAAAUGUGUAAGUAACUAUGCACGUCUUGACGGUACCUAAUCAGAAAGCCACGGCUAACUACGUG